rnacentral:rRNA from 1 species
UAGCUAGUUGGUGGGGUAAGGGCCUACCAAGGCGACGAUCGGUAGCUGGUCUGAGAGGAUGACCAGCCACACUGGAACUGAGACACGGUCCAGACUCCUUCGGGAGGCAGCAGUGGGGAAUAUUGGACAAUGGGGGCAACCCUGAUCCAGCAAUGCCGCGUGUGUGAAGAAGGCCUGAGGGUUGUAAAGCACUUUCCGUGGGGAGGAGGGUUGAUAGGUUAAGAGCUAAUUAACUGGACGUUACCCACAGAAGAAGCACCGACUAACUCCGUGCCAGCAGCCGCGGUAAUACGGAGGGUGCGAGCGUUAAUCGGAAUUACUGGGCGUAAAGGGUGCGUAGGUGGUUGAUUAAGUUAUCUGUGAAAUUCCUGGGCUUAACCUGGGACGGUCAGAUAAUACUGGUUGACUCGAGUAUGGGAGAGGGUAGUGGAAUUUCCGGUGUAGCGGUGAAAUGCGUAGAGAUCGGAAGGAACACCAGUGGCGAAGGCGGCUACCUGGCCUAAUACUGACACUGAGGCACGAAAGCGUGGGGAGCAAACAGGAUUAGAUACCCUGGUAGUCCACGCUGUAAACGAUGUCAACUAGCUGUUGGUUAUAUGAAAAUAAUUAGUGGCGC